GAAUAAAAAUUAAAAGAAAUGAAACUCGAUGCCUAUCAUUCAAUCACUCGCAUGCUUCAGCUGCUGCAACUGAGCUAAUGUAGUUUCUAUUAACAAGCUAAGAACAACUACAACAACAACUCGCCGACAGACUCAACACCUUGGCGAAAGUUUGCGAAACGAAUUAGCAAAGUUUUUAGCAAGGAACACGAAACAUGUCGCUGUCCUCUCCGAAAAAUAGUUUUUCAAGCAGGCGAAAUUCGCCGCCUAAAAGCAUGCAAUGAAAUUUCGCGGUUUUUGCACACUUUUCCAUGCAAAUAGUUAUGAUAAGGAGGGCAGAGUCCGACGAAGUGUAAUGCGUUGAAAUCAGUGCAAUAGAUGAAUACGAUUUAAAAGCUGAAGAACUUUGAUCCGGGCUGGCAUCCCAGACAAGUGCAUGAAUGUAAAACUAUCUUAGCCGAUUGCUAUAGACCCUAAGGCUAUCU
rnacentral:sRNA from 1 species